rnacentral:rRNA from 1 species
GUGUGAAGAAGGCCCUUCGGGUUGUAAAGCACUUUAAGCAGGGAGAAAAAGUUAUAAGUUAAUACCUUAUGACCUUGAUGUUACCUGCAGAAUAAGCACCGGCUAAUUCCGUGCCAGCAGCCGCGGUAAUACGGAAGGUGCAAGCGUUAAUCGGAAUUACUGGGCGUAAAGCGCGCGUAGGUGGUUUGUUAAGUUGGAUGUGAAAGCCCUGGGCUCAACCUAGGAACUGCAUCCAAAACUAACUCACUAGAGUACGAUAGAGGGAGGUAGAAUUCAUAGUGUAGCGGUGGAAUGCGUAGAUAUUAUGAAGAAUACCAGUGGCGAAGGCGGCCUCCUGGAUCUGUACUGACACUAAGGUGCGAAAGCGUGGGUAGCGAACAGGAUUAGAUACCCUGGUAGUCCACGCCGUAAACGAUGACAACUAGCUGUUGGAAGACAACGUCUUUCAGUGGCGCAGCUAACGUUUUAAGUUGUCCGCCUGGGGAGUACGGCCGCAAGGCUAAAACUCAAAUGAAUUGACGGGGACCCGCACAAGCGGUGGAGCAUGUGGUUUAAUUCGAUGCAACGCGAAAAACCUUACCUACUCUUGACAUACUUGGAAACUCUUGUAAUGAGAGUGUGCCUUUUGGAACCAAGAUACAGGUGCUGCAUGGCUGUCGUCAGCUCGUGUCGUGAGAUGUUCCGUUAAGUCGGAUAACGAGCGCAACCCUUACCCUUAUUUGCCAGCGAUUCGGUCGGGAACUAUAAGGGGACUGCCGGUGAUAAACCGGAGGAAGGUGAGGACGACGUCAAGUCAUCAUGGCCCUUACGAGUAGGGCU